rnacentral:lncRNA from 1 species
UAGAUGUCAACGAUCUUUAUAAAGUUGUUUGAAGCGUCUAUGAUAAACAGAGAGCAAAUUAGAAUCCAAGGAAGUUGACAUGUCAUCACUUCAUUUUUUUGCGCCUGCGCAUAAAUCUGAGAAACGUGAGUUUUGUCUUCAUUGUUUAUCUAGACAUAGGAUAGGUUGUGUGAAAAUAUUACUGAUGUUUAACGUUAAAAAUGGACCAAAAGAUUAAUGCUAAACAACAUUUGACAUGUUUGAACGAACAUAAAUAGAUUAUUUACUAGGUUUUUUUAGCUUUUCGGCGUGAUUUUACAGUCCCCCCACCACGUUUUGUGGGAGCAUAAUGAACGCUAAGUACUUGGUGUUAUUUGGACAUAAAUUAUAAACUUUGUCAAAAGAAACCACAUUUGUUCCGGACCUGGAAUGCCUUCCGGACCUGGGAUCCUGCCUUCUGAUGGAGAUAAUCAAAGGUUAAACCAAGAUGGCGUAGCAGUUGGACGUGUGUUUUGUCUUGUCCCAUGUAAAUAUUGUUUUUCUUUCGUAUAUAUUUUAAUAUCACUUUCCAUCUAUGGACUGAAUAUACUCUCCUGCAACCCGCCUCACCCAAUGUGGUACGGAUCUGCUCUUUUUUAUAAUUAAGAACCGGAACCCCCAUCAAAGCUAGCCAGCUAACUGGCUACUAGCUAAUAGUCAGUUAGCCUUUGCUAGGCCCAUCUGCUAGGCCCAUCUCCCGGCUAGCCGAAGAGGCACAUCAGCCACUCUUUGGGCUACAAUACCUGGACCCCCGCCAACCCAUCACGACUGGACUACCGACGUAAUUCUGCCCGAGGGUUUUUUUCAAUUGACUCCUCCAUCGAGACGUCCCCUGUAUGCCCACCCGCUAGCAUGCUAGCCGCGGCCUGCUAGCUGUCUAGAGCACAUUGGACUGUUAGCUUAAGAGGCCCAUCGGACAAAUUAUUUGGCCUCUAUACCUAUUUUGCCAAUUGGCCUGGUUUACUACAUGGAGCCCUGCUAAUCCAUCUGCCAACGUCACAGCACGAGGGGGCCACAACAACUAACAUUGCUACGUCCCUCAAAGGCUCUUCUGCUAGCUUGUUAGCCCCGGCCCGCUAGCUGCCUGAAGCCACUCACUGGACUCCUAUGAUCACUUGGCUACACAUGCCUCUCACUAACGUCAAUACGCCUUGUCCAUUGCAAUUUUGCACACUCUGCCAACCCGGAUGUCCUAGCCGUGUCUGAAGACCACCAAAAACCCUGACAUUUCCAUCCCUGACUAUAACAUUUUCCGAGGAAUAGCCUGCAGAGUUCUGUCUUACUAUCCAGGUCUGUGCCCAAACAAUUUGAGCUUCUACUUUUAAAAAUCCACCUCUCUAGAAACACAUCUCUUACCGUUGCCGCUUGCUAUAGACCACCUUCUGCCCCCAGCUGUGCCCUGGACACCAUAUGCGAAUUGAUUGCCCCCAUCUAUCUUCAGAGCUCGUGCUGUUAGGUGACCUAAACUGGGACAUGCUUAACACCUGGAAAUCCUACAAUCUAAGCUUGAUGCUCUCAAUCUCACACAAAUUAUCAAUGAUCC